AACGAACGCUGGCGGCAUGCCUAACACAUGCAAGUCGAACGAGACCUUCGUGUCUAGUGGCGCACGGGUGCGUAACGCGUGGGAACCUGCCCUUAGGUUCGGAAUAACUCCCCGAAAGGGGUGCUAAUACCGGAUAAUGUCUUCGGACCAAAGAUUUAUCGCCUUUGGAUGGGCCCGCGUUGGAUUAGCUAGUUGGUAGGGUAAAAGCCUACCAAGGCGACGAUCCAUAGCUGGUCUGAGAGGAUGAUCAGCCACACUGGGACUGAGACACGGCCCAGACUCCUACGGGAGGCAGCAGUGGGGAAUAUUGGAAAAUGGGCGAAAGCAUGAUCCAGCAAUGCCGCGUGAGUGAUGAAGGCCUUAGGGUUGUAAAGCUCUUUUACCCGGGAUGAUAAUGACAGUACCGGGAGAAUAAGCUCCGGCUAACUCCGUG
rnacentral:rRNA from 1 species